AUCCAACUGACGAGUCCCAAAUAGGACGAAACAUGUAACCUGGAU
rnacentral:hammerhead_ribozyme from 1 species